CCUACGGGAGGCAGCAGUGAGGAAUAUUGGUCAAUGGACGAGAGUCUGAACCAGCCAAGUAGCGUGAAGGAUGACUGCCCUAUGGGUUGUAAACUUCUUUUGUCAAGGGACAAAAUCAGGCUCGAGAGCCUGACCGAGGGUACUUGAAGAAAAAGCAUCGGCUAACUCCGUGCCAGCAGCCGCGGUAAUACGGAGGAUGCGAGCGUUAUCCGGAUUUAUUGGGUUUAAAGGGUGCGUAGGCGGACUGUUAAGUCAGCGGUAAAAGCCCGGGGCUCAACCCCGGCGAGCCGUUGAAACUGGCGGUCUUGAGAUGUCGAGAGGUAUGCGGAAUGCGCAGUGUAGCGGUGAAAUGCUUAGAUAUUGCGCAGAACUCCGAUUGCGAAGGCAGCAUACCGGCGGCGAUCUGACGCUGAGGCACGAAAGCGUGGGUAUCGAACAGGAUUAGAUACCCUGGUAGUC
rnacentral:rRNA from 1 species